rnacentral:rRNA from 1 species
CCUACGGGGCGCAGCAGUGGGGAAUAUUGCACAAUGGGGGAAACCCUGAUGCAGCGACGCCGCGUGAGCGAGGAAGUAUUUCGGUAUGUAAAGCUCUGUCAGCAGGGAAGAAGAAUGACGGUACCUGAAGAAGAAGCACCGGCUAAAUACGUGCCAGCAGCCGCGGUAAUACGUAUGGUGCAAGCGUUAUCCGGAUUUACUGGGUGUAAAGGGAGCGCAGGCGGUUCUGAAAGUCUUAUGUUAAAGGCAAGGGCUCAACCCUUGGACUUGUUUGGGAAAUG